GCUGGGUUACUCAAGUGGUCAACGAGGGCUGACUGUAAAUCAGCUGGCUUAUGCCUACGGAGGUUCGAAUCCUUCACCCAGCACCA
rnacentral:tRNA from 3 species